GCCUGGGUGGCGGAACAGGUAGACGCAAGGGACUUAAAAUCCCUUACUCCUUGUGGGUGUGCGGGUUCGAUUCCCGCCCCAGGUACCA
rnacentral:tRNA from 1 species